AUGUUGUGAGGCACACACAUGUCUGAUCUCUAGGAGUCGUCCUCACGAGUCCACGAAUCACGAUCAGAAGUCUUGGUCCAAGAAAUUAGCACAGUAUACUAGUACUGCGCUAAUCCUUCUUCGAUGGUCGAUCAGAUGCUUCCUUCUUCUUAAUUUUGACUCUUCUAAAGAUAAAAAGUAGGAGAAGGAGUUUUAGAUGAGACACUCUUAGAAAACUUACAG
rnacentral:lncRNA from 1 species